rnacentral:misc_RNA from 1 species
GAUGAAGAACGCAGCGAAAUGCGAUAAGUAAUGUGAAUUGCAGAAUUCCGUGAAUCAUCGAAUCUUUGAACGCACAUUGCGCCCCCUGGUAUUCCGGGGGGCAUGCCUGUCCGAGCGUCAUUACAACCCUCAAGCUCAGCUUGGUGUUGGGCCCCGCCGCCCCGGCGGGCCCUAAAGUCAGUGGCGGUGCCGUCCGGCUCCGAGCGUAGUAAUUCUUCUCGCUCUGGAGGUCCGGCCGUGUGCUCGCCAGCAACCCCCAAUUUUUUUCAGGUUGACCUCGGAUCAGGUAGGGAUACCCGCUGAACUUAAGCAUAUCAAUAAGCGGAGGA